rnacentral:rRNA from 1 species
UACAGAGGGGGCGAGCGUUGUUCGGAAUUACUGGGCGUAAAGGGCGCGUAGGCGGCCCGUUAAGUCGAACGUGAAAUCCCCGGGCUCAACCCGGGAACUGCGUCCGAGACUGGCGGGCUCGAAUUCGGGAGAGGGAUGUGGAAUUCCAGGUGUAGCGGUGAAAUGCGUAGAUAUCUGGAGGAACAUCGGUGGCGAAGGCGGCAUCCUGGACCGAUAUUGACGCUGAGGCGCGAAAGCCAGGGGAGCAAACGGG